rnacentral:rRNA from 1 species
GACGAACGCUGGCGGCGUGCUUAACACAUGCAAGUCGAACGGAAAGGCCCUGCUUGCAGGGUACUCGAGUGGCGAACGGGUGAGUAACACGUGGGUGAUCUGCCCUGCACUUCGGGAUAAGCCUGGGAAACUGGGUCUAAUACCGGAUAGGAGCCAUUUUUAGUGUGAUGGUUGGAAAGUUUUUUCGGUGUAGGAUGAGCUCGCGGCCUAUCAGCUUGUUGGUGGGGUAAUGGCCUACCAAGGCGGCGACGGGUAGCCGGCCUGAGAGGGUGGACGGCCACAUUGGGACUGAGAUACGGCCCAGCCUCCUACGGGAGGCAGCAGUGGGGAAUAUUGCACAAUGGGCGCAAGCCUGAUGCAGCGACGCCGCGUGGGGAUGACGGCCUUCGGGUUGUAAACUCCUUUCGCUAGGGACGAAGCUUUUUGUGACGGUACCUAGAGAAGAAGCACCGGCUAACUACGUG